AACGAACGCUGGCUGCGUGCCUAACACAUGCAAGUCGAACGGAAUGAGGGGGCUUGCUCCUUCAUUUAGUGGCGCACGGGUGAGUAACGCGUAGAUAAUCUGCCUGAUGAUCUGGGAUAACAUCUCGAAAGGGGUGCUAAUACCGGAUAAGCCCACGGGGUCUUUGGAUUCUGCGGGAAAAGGGGGGGACCUUCGGGCCUUCUGUCAUCAGAUGAGUCUGCGUACCAUUAGCUAGUUGGUAGGGUAAUGGCCUACCAAGGCGACGAUGGUUAGCUGGUCUGAGAGGAUGAUCAGCCACACUGGAACUGAGACACGGUCCAGACUCCUACGGGAGGCAGCAGUGGGGAAUUUUGCGCAAUGGGCGAAAGCCUGACGCAGCAACGCCGCGUGAGUGAUGAAGGCUUUCGGGUCGUAAAGCUCUGUCAAGGGGAAAGAAGUGUAUUGUGGUUAAUACCCGCGAUACUUGACGGUACCCCUAAAGGAAGCACCGGCUAACUCCGUGCCAGCAGCCGCGGUAAUACGGAGGGUGCAAGCGUUGUUCGGAUUUAUUGGGCGUAAAGCGCGUGUAGGCGGUUUAUUAAGUCUGAUGUGAAAGCCCUGGGCUCAACCCAGGAAGUGCAUUGGAUACUGGUAGACUUGAAUACGGGAGAGGGCAGUGGAAUUCCUGGUGUAGGAGUGAAAUCCGUAGAUAUCAGGAGGAACACCGGUGGCGAAGGCGGCUGCCUGGACCGAUAUUGACGCUGAGACGCGAAAGCGUGGGUAGCAAACAGGAUUAGAUACCCUGGUAGUCCACGCCGUAAACGAUGAGUACUAGGUGUUGCGGGUAUUGACCCCUGCAGUGCCGCAGCUAACGCAUUAAGUACUCCGCCUGGGAAGUACGGUCGCAAGACUAA
rnacentral:rRNA from 1 species